rnacentral:rRNA from 1 species
UGGGGAAUUGUUCACAAUGGGCGCAAGCCUGAUGACGCAACGCCGCGUGGGGGAUGAAGGUCUUCGGAUUGUAAACCCCUGUCGAAUGGGACGAAAGACUCGCGAGUUAAUACUUCGCGGGAGUGACGGUACCGUUAAAGGAAGCCACGGCUAACUCUGUGCCAGCAGCCGCGGUAAUACAGAGGUGGCAAGCGUUGUUCGGAAUUACUGGGCGUAAAGGGCGCGUAGGCGGCCUACUAAGUCAGACGUGAAAUCCCCCGGCUUAACCUGGGAACUGCGUCUGAUACUGGAAGGCUUGAGUAUGGGAGAGGGAUGUAGAAUUCCAGGUGUAGCGGUGAAAUGCGUAGAUAUCGGGAGGAACAUCAGUGGCGAAGGCGGCCCUCUGGUCCAGUACUGACACUCAAGUGCGAAAGCGUGGGGAGCAAACAGGAUUAGAUACCCACGUAGUCCCUGAGCGGGCUGGCAAGGCGCAU